CGGCGAUGGCGGCUGCGCCGGCCUUGAAGCACUGGCGCACCACGCUGGAGCGGGUGGAGAAGUUCGUGUCGCCGCUCUACUUUACCGACUGUAACCUCCGCGGCAGGUGUGGCCCCUGGUCCCCCGCAGCCGGCCGACCGCAUCCGUGCGCCUCAGGCUUUCCUUCCGGGGAGAAACCCAAGCUGCAGCCACCCGGGCCGCGGGACGAAGUGCCCGCCGCGGGCAGGGCAGGGGCCGGGGAGGAGGGGUUAGGGAAUGGACUAUGCCGCGGAGCGGCUAGGCAGCCCUCUUGGCGGAGGAUCCAGGGACAGUGCGGCCCCACCGGCCAGCUGGCCCCCAGGCGGAAACGGGGCGGCCUCCAGCAUGUGCCCACCGGCCUGUCCCACGCAGGCUUUUUGGGGCCAGCUGCCCUGUGGCUGUGCUCUCCAGCUUCCUGACGCCGGAGAGACUUCCCUACCAGGAGGCAGUCCAGCGGGACUUCCGCCCCGCGCAGGUCGGCGACAGCUUCGGACCCACAUGGUGGACCUGCUGGUUCCGGGUGGAGCUGACCAUCCCAGAGGCAUGGGUGGGCCAGGAAGUUCACCUUUGCUGGGAAAGUGAUGGAGAAGGUCUGGUGUGGCGUGAUGGAGAACCUGUCCAGGGUUUAACCAAAGAGGGUGAGAAGACCAGCUAUGUCCUGACUGACAGGCUG
rnacentral:sRNA from 1 species